GACGAACCGUGCGAACGUUAUUCGGAAUCACUGGGCUUAAAGCGCGUGUAGGCGGGCCGGCACGUCCGUGGCUGAAAGCCCCCGGCUCAACCGGGGAAGGGGCGCGGAUACGACCGGCCUGGAGGGGGGUAGGGGGACCUGGAACUUCCGGUGGAGCGGUGAAAUGCGUUGAGAUCGGAAGGAACGCCCGUGGCGAAAGCGAGUCCCUGGACCCUUUCUGACGCUGAGACGCGAAAGCCAGGGGAGCGAACGGG
rnacentral:rRNA from 1 species